UACGUAGGGUGCAAGCGUUAAUCGGAAUUACUGGGCGUAAAGCGUGCGCAGGCGGUUCGUUAAGUCAGAUGUGAAAGCCCCGGGCUCAACCUGGGAACUGCAUUUGAAACUGGCGGGCUUGAGUGUGGCAGAGGGGGGUGGAAUUCCGCGUGUAGCAGUGAAAUGCGUAGAGAUCGUAAGGAAGACCAGUGGCGAAGGCGGGUCUCUGGACAGUUCCUGACACUGAGGCACGAAGGCCAGGGGAGCAAACGGG
rnacentral:rRNA from 1 species